CAUCUGGGUGUCUGUUGGCCUGAGCAAGGACCUGAGGGAAAGCAGGGUGUCGGCGGCUCCCUGUCCCCCUCCCCUGCAGCAAUCCCACGACACCUGGUCUGGAACCAGUGGCAACAUUGCUGCCCACUCCCCGUGGCCCCAUGCCCUAGAAGGAGCCAGGCCUCUAGGCAAGAGGCUCUGGCUGAGCAUAGGACCCUGGCCUCCAUAGGCCCAAACAGCAGCACCUACCUCCCCUCUUACAGGCUUCCUGGAGCCUCAUCAGGUAGCUCCAGCCAAUACACAGCCCAGACCAGCAUGAGCUGCUAAAUCCUGGAAGUUUCCUAUUACGAAGGACAAUAAAGGGUCUUUUGCUGUGUUAAUAUUGACUUGCCGAAAGCCUCUAGGUGACAAGGAUGCAGGCCGGCUGGAGAGGGCCCUUGUGACAAACUGCCUUGUCGGUGCUGACCAGACACUCCCGACGGACCAGUUAAGACUACAUUUCUGGGAGAGGUUGAAACUGCAAUUAGGUUAGGUAUGAAGCCCAGGUUUGUGACUCGGCCUGACAUAACUAAUCCCACCUUGGGCCUUGGUUUUCCUUUCGAAAAGUGCCUUGCCUGGUCUCCCUUACAGACGUUGAUGUGGGAAACAAAAGCAGAAGAAAAUGGCAGAUAGAAUUAAAUUUCCUAAUAACCUGCAGCCCAUUGACAAAUACUUGAGGCUGGCAGAGUAAAACGUUUCUCCAGGAACUCCUACAGUCUCAAUGCUGAUGGCUUUGCUAGAAUGAAAACAACCUUCUCUCCACAGGCAAGGCCGCCAAUAUCCUGUGAGCCUUCUUUAGCAUAUGAAAGUCUCACUAGAAACUUCCCCUGGACUUUACCUCCCCCAGCUCCAUAGUAUAUAUAACCAGUGUUUCUUCAUGGUCCCAGGGCAGCUCUUCCUGCCCACGGGUUCUGUCCCCGUGCUUUAAUCAAAUCACCUUUCUUGCACCUAAGAUGUCUUCAAGAAUUCUUUCUUGGCUGUUGGCUCCAACCCCAUGAACCCCACUAUCACCCCAAAAACCUCAUCAGAUGUGUCCAAGAAACUGUGGAAACAUGGAUUCUAAAGUCCCCUUCAGGGGUGCCUGGCUGGCUCAGUCAGUAGAACCUGUGACUCGAUCUCUGGGUGGUGAGUUCAAGCCCCACAUUGGGGGUAGAGAUUACUUUGAAAAUGAAUGAAUGAAUACAACAAAGUCCCUUUCAGCAUUUGUAUUCUCUGAGCAGGGUUAUUAUGUAAUCUGGUAUUCUAGAGUGCAGAUUGACCUGGAGGGGAGGGAGACAACAGGCAAGAUCAGUCAGGAGGCUGUGGCAGGGCCCUCAGGAGAGAUAAGUGCUGACUGGAGGUGAUAAGAGUGGGAAGGAAAGCAUAAAAGCAAAACACAGAGUGAUUUUUCUCAGAGAACCAGCCUUUGAAGUAGGAUUACCAGAUAAAAUACUUCUAUUGAAAAAUUAUUUUUUAUCUGAAAUUCACAUUUACCUGGUGUCCCGGGGCUUUUUGAUUGUUGUUUUCCAAAUUUCACAACCCUACUUCAAAAGUGUACCUGAAGGGACUGUGACCUAACUUGGGGGCUUCUUGUAGAGACAUUGAGCCACCAACCUCCUUUCCCAGCCCCGGCCAGCCCUUUUCUGUCUACAGCACAGGCCUCAAGGAUGUGGCCUUUCUCCCUUUCCUCCUCAACACUGUCCUCACUCCCUCCAUCCCCUGGGCUCCUCCUCACAAGGCCUGACUCUGGGGCAGGCUGCAGGAGGAAGCUCAAGGCUGAACAUUCUGGUGCCAUCUAUGUCUGGGGACCCCUUUGCCGUCCAAGAGCACUUCUGCACUCACUGCACCCCACGGCCCACAGGACUGCGAGCCGCUGGAAUGCACUGGAGCUUCAGAGACUGGGCCUCAUGUUGAGAAUUCAAGACAUAAAACCAAAGAUAGGCGCCCCCAAAAUGGUUCCUCCCAGCCCGCGGAAGUCUGGAGACCCACCCGCCAACAGCACCC